rnacentral:lncRNA from 1 species
AACCCAUAAUUCAAGACAUCAUGCCACAUGCAAAAUAUAUUAUGUGUUAAGUCAUGCAUUAAAAUAUUAAGGACAAGCAUGUCAAGGAUCAAAAUCAAUUCUUUUCAAAUAAACUCCCCCUAUUUAAAUAUAAUCUUGCAUUGAUUUCAUCCUUAAAGUGUGUUUUCAAGUGAUUAAAAAAUUUGACUUGAUUCUUCUUAUAUACUUUCAUUUACUUUGU